rnacentral:rRNA from 1 species
UACGGAGGGGGCUAGCGUUGUUCGGAAUUACUGGGCGUAAAGCGCACGUAGGCGGCUUUGCAAGUCAGAGGUGAAAGCCCGGGGCUCAAUCCCGGAAUAGCCUUUGAGACUGCAUCGCUUGAACAUCGGAGAGGUAAGUGGAAUUCCGAGUGUAGAGGUGAAAUUCGUAGAUAUUCGGAAGAAACACCAGUGGCGAAGGCGACUUACUGGACGAUUGUUGACGCUGAGGUGCGAAAGCGUGGGGGAGCAAACAGG